CCUACGGGAGGCAGCAGUGAGGAAUAUUGGUCAAUGGGCGGGAGCCUGAACCAGCCAAGUCGCGUGAGGGAAGACGGUCCUAUGGAUUGUAAACCGCUUUAGGCGGGGAGCAAUGCCGGGCACGUGUGUCCGGAGGGAGAGUACCCGCAGAAUAAGCAUCGGCUAACUUCGUGCCAGCAGCGGCGGUAAUACGGAGGAUCCGAGCGUUAUCCGGAUUUAUUGGGUUUAAGGGGAGCGUAGAUGGGCUGUUAGGUCAGUGGUGAAAGUUUGCGGCUCAACCGUAAAAUUGCAAUUGAUACUGGCAGUCUUGAGUGCAGUUGAGGUAAGCGGAAUGCGUGGUGUAGCGGUGAAAUGCUUAGAUAUCACGAAGAACCCCGAUUGCGAAGGCAGCUUACUAAACUGUUACUGACAUUGAUGCUCGAAAGUGUGGGUAUCAAACAGGAUUAGAUACCCGUGUAGUC
rnacentral:rRNA from 1 species